rnacentral:lncRNA from 1 species
AUUAAUGCAAGUUAAGUUUGUGAAGAAAUAGAAUGACUUUGGUGAAGAAAUAGAAUGACUUACCAAGAAAAUCGCUAUGGAUCGUGGCAAUAAGAAGCUCAAUCCGUUCUUGGGCAGUUAGCUGGCUAAGAUCAGUGACAGACAAAAGGUAAGAAAUCAUAUCUCUACUUUUAUAAGAAACUGCAAUGAGAAGUGGAGUUCCUUCUCUGAAAGUACGAAUAAGAGGAAGUUCAUGAUUUUUUUCCACCAUUAGUUUAGCAAUUUUGACAAUUCUUGAUGUAGCAGCAAAGCAAAGGGCAGUAUUUCCAUAUUUGUCUCGCAAAGCCAUGUCUUUUCGGGUCAUUCGACUCACUAACUCCUCCACGAACACACUCUGCUUCGCUCCGGCAGCAACAUGAAGAACAGUCUCUUUGUUUCUUGUUAUUGCACAACG